UAACAUCAAAUCGUACCCCAAACCGACACAGGUGGUCAGGUAGAGAAUACCAAGGCGCUUGAGAGAACUCGGGUGAAGGAACUAGGCAAAAUGGUGCCGUAACUUCGGGAGAAGGCACGCUGGUGUGUAGGUGAAGCCCCUGCGGGUGGAGCUGAGACCAGUCGAAGAUACCAGCUGGCUGCAACUGUUUAUUAAAAACACAGCACUGUGCAAACACGAAAGUGGACGUAUACGGUGUGACGCCUGCCCGGUGCCGGAAGGUUAAUUGAUGGGGUUAUCCGU
rnacentral:rRNA from 1 species